UGAGGAAUAUUGGUCAAUGGUCUGACGACUGAACCAGCCAUGCCGCGUGAAGGUCACGGCCCUAUGGGUCUUAAACUUCUUUUGCAAGGGAGCAAUAAGGUCUACGUGUAGAUCGAUGAGAGUACCUUGCGAAUAAGCAUCGGCUAACUCCGUGCCAGCAGCCGCGGUAAUACGGGGGAUGCAAGCGUUAUCCGGAUUUAUUGGGUUUAAAGGGUGCGUAGGCGGCCUGUUAAGUCAGCGGUGAAAUUCAGGGGCUCAACCUCUGCCGUGCCGUUGAUACUGGCAAGCUGGAAUGCGGAUGCCGUGGGAGGAAUGUGUGGUGUAGCGGUGAAAUGCAUAGAUAUCACACAGAACACCGAUUGCGAAGGCAUCUCACGAAUCCGCUAUUGACGCUGAUGCACGAAAGCGUGGGGAUCAAACAGG
rnacentral:rRNA from 2 species